UACGGGGGGGGCAAGCGUUUGUUCGGAAUUACUGGGCGUAAAGGGCUCGUAGGUGGCCAACUAAGUCAUACGUGAAAUCCCUCGGCUUAACCGGGGAACUGCGUCUGAUACUGGAUGGCUUGAGUGUGGGAGAGGGAUGCGGAAUUCCAGGUGUAGCGGUGAAAUGCGUAGAUAUCUGGAGGAACACCGGUGGCGAAGGCGGCAUCCUGGACCAUUACUGACACUGAGAAGCGAAAGCCAGGGGAGCAAACGGG
rnacentral:rRNA from 1 species